rnacentral:rRNA from 1 species
UGAGGAAUAUUGGUCAAUGGACGAGAGUCUGAACCAGCCAAGUAGCGUGAAGGAUGACUGCCCUAUGGGUUGUAAACUUCUUUUGUACGGGAAUAAAGUGAGCCACGUGUGGCUUUUUGUAUGUACCGUAUGAAUAAGGAUCGGCUAACUCCGUGCCAGCAGCCGCGGUAAUACGGAGGAUCCGAGCGUUAUCCGGAUUUAUUGGGUUUAAAGGGAGCGUAGGCGGGUUGUUAAGUCAGUUGUGAAAGUUUGCGGCUCAACCGUAAAAUUGCAGUUGAUACUGGCGACCUUGAGUGCAACAGAGGUAGGCGGAAUUCGUGGUGUAGCGGUGAAAUGCUUAGAUAUCACGAAGAACUCCGAUUGCGAAGGCAGCUUACUGGAUUGUAACUGACGCUGAUGCUCGAAAGUGUGGGUAUCAAACAGGAUUAGAUACCCUGGUAGUCCACACAGUAAACGAUGAAUACUCGCUGUUGGCGAUAUACGGUCAGCGGCCAAGCGAAAGCAUUAAGUAUUCCACCUGGGGAGUACGCCGGCAACGGUGAAACUCAAAGGAAUUGACGGGGGCCCGCACAAGCGGAGGAACAUGUGGUUUAAUUCGAUGAUACGCGAGGAACCUUACCCGGGCUUAAAUUGCAACUGACUGAACCGGAAACGGUUCUUUCUUCGGACAGUUGUGAAGGUGCUGCAUGGUUGUCGUCAGCUCGUGCCGUGAGGUGUCGGCUUAAGUGCCAUAACGAGCGCAACCCUUAUCGAUAGUUACUAGCAGGUCAUGCUGAGGACUCUAUUGAGACUGCCGUCGUAAGAUGUGAGGAAGGUGGGGAUGACGUCAAAUCAGCACGGCCCUUACGUCCGGGGCUACACACGUGUUACAAUGGGGGGUACAGAAGGCAGCUACACGGCGACGUGGUGCUAAUCCCGAAAGCCUCUCUCAGUUCGGAUUGGAGUCUGCAACCCGACUCCAUGAAGCUGGAUUCGCUAGUAAUCGCGCAUCAGCCACGGCGCGGUGAAUACGUUCCC